GACGGAGGAUGCAAGUGUUAUCCGGAAUCACUGGGCGUAAAGCGUCUGUAGGUGGUUUAAAAAGUCUACUGUUAAAAAUUGAAGCUUAACUUCAAAGAUGCCGUAGAAACUUUUAAACUUGAGGAUGGUAGGGGUAGAGGGAAUUUCCAGUGGAGCGGUGAAAUGCGUAGAUCUUGGAAAGACCACCAAUGGCGAAGGCACUCUACUGGGCCAUGACUGACACUAAGAGACGAAAGCUAGGGGAGCAAACAGG
rnacentral:rRNA from 1 species